UACAGAGGUGGCAAGCGUUGUUCGGAAUUACUGGGCGUAAAGGGCGCGUAGGCGGUCUUUUAAGUCUUGUGUGAAAUCCCUCGGCUCAACUGAGGAACUGCACGGGAUACUGGAAGACUUGAGUUCGGGAGAGGGAAGCGGAAUUCCGGGUGUAGCGGUGAAAUGCGUAGAUAUCCGGAAGAACACCGGUGGCGAAGGCGGCUUCCUGGACCGAUUACUGACGCUGAGGCGCGAAAGCGUGGGGAGCAAACAGG
rnacentral:rRNA from 1 species